rnacentral:ncRNA from 12 species
GUUGCUUAGGUCUGUGGUUGAAAGUCGAUGCCAGUCGCAGGCGAAACGAUCCACGUAAGGAAUUCAAAGAAUUCUGAUCAUGGUGCGGCUUAGAGAUAAGACCUGCCGGCUUUAAGUAAUUAAAGUACAUAAUAGCCGAGAGUGUUAGUAGUGAGGGUUUAAUUUCUAUUAGCGAAACCUCCAGCAGGCGAGUGUGGGGUCAAAGACCAGGUCAGCUGAGCAAU